UGGAGAAUCCCAUGGACAGAGGAGCCUGAUGGGCUAUAGUCCAUAGGUUCGCAAAGAGUCAGAUAUGACUGAAGCGACUUAGGACUCAUGCAUUAUCAUUAUUAUUGUUAUUAUUUAUUGAAAAGUAUUUAAAGAAUAGUUAUCUACCAUGAGAGUCAUAUGAAAGUCUUCCCAACUUUCAAGUAAUUUUAAUAUCCAAACCCGGGCUACUUUUCGCAUCCCUUUUCCAAAAGGCUAAACAGCAACCUUCCUAAAAAGCAUUCAUCUCUGUCAGAUUAGUUUAUACGAUUAGCUGAUCAAGAGCUCAUCUGGCCUGCUUCCUGCGGCUCCAGAUCCCUGGAGGCAAAAUUGAGACUAGUAGAGGACUAGAUGGGAGAAGGCAAUGGCACCCCACUCCAGUACUCUUGCCUGGAAAAUCCCAUGGACAGUGGAGCCUGGUGGGCUGACGUCUAUGGGGUCGCACAGAGUCAGACACGACUGAAGCGACUUAGCAGCAGCAGCAGCAGCAGCAGCAGCAGCAGCAGCAGAGGACUAGAUGGACUUGAUUAAAGAUGGAGUUUAUUACAGUUUCUUUGUGAUGAAGAGGAGAAAGUUGUCUCUAAAAGAAAAAGUGGGGUCCGGGGUACUGAAUUAAUUUGACCUGUUUGAUCAAUUCAAUGAAAAGAAAUGCUCAGAUUGGUCAAACAGGUUGUAAAUAACUCGGAAAUAUAGGGACCCGCUGGGGCUUUGGCUUGUGGAACCCUUGGGGCAGAGCCCCUGCAGACAGUCUGGGCUUCCAGACAACCCAAGGGAACUGCUGGGAGCUGGAGCUGCUGAAGGAAAAGUAGGUCAUCCAGAGGACCCAAGACAUGGUGGCUACUAAUGGACUCUUCCCACAUUUCUUCAUACCAUUUGGAGUCCUGCAAGGACAGUGAGCAUCUCAACUUCCCUUGAACUUGAUCUGGAUGGGCCUGAUAGUCUAUGUGAGCCUGCUUCUGCUGACUCCAAAAAUCCUGAGUCUGCCAUUUGAUCCUCAAGAUAAUGCCUUCCUGUCCUAGGCUCACUCCUACACUGCAUUCCACAAUUGGUCUAACUGAUGGCUCUGCGGAGUGCUCCCCUCUUCAUCAGUGGAAAGCGUCCCAUGGUGGGCAUCUCCACUUCAAGGAAACGACUCUCUCCAAGUCUGAGAAUACCUUCGACAGCAACAAUCAUAUAUGAUGCCUCUUCUUAAUCUGAUGACAUCUAAUAAUCCUAAAAUGGACUGGUGCAACACUUUGUACCUUAACCGUGGACAUAAUCUUCUUAUUCUAAGGAGAAGGCAACUCAGUAUAUAGAAGAACUGUGCAGAAUUUGAGAGACCAAACAAACUUAUUUCUAGCAGUAGCCAUGCAGAAAGAGAGACCCAAGAAGAAAUCAGGGAUCCUUACAAGUAGA